rnacentral:ncRNA from 2 species
UUUUUCGUAUAGUACCGGGGUCGCGGGCGCAGGAAGUGCGGUGAGAUUCCGCCACGGUAGCGCCACUGUAACCGGAAGCUUUCCGGAAGUCAGACACUGUGC